CACCCACCCACCUGUGCCAACUCCUGGCCUUAAUGGAGUCUCCGGUUCCUACAGGAGCCACUGAGGCCCAGUGUGGCUGUGGCAAGCUGGCCGUGGCAAGCUGGCCAUCUGUGGACCUUCUCCAGCACAGCUGUGUGAACAUCAGCUCAUGGCUACCACUCAGAGGCUCCUCAACCCGCGGUCAGUGUGUUCUGGUCUUUGUGUGCAUUCGUUCAUUCAGCCCUCCGGCGGCCUGGUCAUCAUCCCCACUCCAAGACUGAGGAACUGAAGACCAGAGAGGCAGAUGACUCGCUCAAGGCCACUCAGCUGAUAAACAGAGGCAGGGACUUGUCUUGGGCUGGGAAGUAGGCCCCAAGAAAGGAGCCAAGUGGAGGGACUUUGUCCCCAAGGCUAUCCCAGGAAGCACCCUGCAGGGCGGAGGGCUGGGGAGGCAGGAGUCAGGUCUCCUCACCGCUCAGGGUAAUGGGCUCAGGUAAGUGAGCAGGCUUGAAGCCUGGCUGCUCAAAGUGAGGUUCUUGGACCAUCGGUGUGAGCCCUGGGAGCAGGUCAGAGAUGCGCAGCUGACAUGGGCUGUAGCUCAGUGGUUGGGCACUUGCCUAGCAUGCACCAGGCCCUAGGAUCCCCCCCAGCACUGCAAACAGACAACGGAAGGAGGGAAGGAAGGGAGGGAGGGAGGGAGGCCGGCCCAAGUGCAGAGCCCACCUCGGAGCUCCUGGAUCAGCGGUGCACGUGGGCCGGAUCUCCACCAGGGCAGGUGACAGCUCGAGGAGCCGGGGCUUCCCUCAGCUGCCCGCCACCUCGGAGGAAGCUGGGGUACUAUCCACUAGCCCCUCCACAUGAGCAAGGGCUGCUCCCCAUGUCAGCUGCCUGCUGCUCCGCCCAGCCUCAAGGAGCCCACCGCCCACCUGCCACUGCACCGAGGAAGCCCUGGAGAGCAGGACGGCGCUCCGGCAGAAGGCUGCUCUCCUGUGAGUGGGAGUCAGUGCAGGAGCACCGCCAGGUAUGAUCCCAGGUGGUCUGCUCCAGAGCGCUCCCUCUCGCCACCUGCCCCGCCUUCACACCCUCAACUGGCCCCCAUGUCAUUGUCCCCAUUCCCCAGUGAGCAGCCGAACCCUGGGAACACUGGCAAACUGCAACAAGAGGCCAACAGGAUUGGCGCGGGUGCCUUGGGCCCAGGAUACCUCUCCAGGAGAUAGAGGAGCCCACUCAGGGCCCCUGGAGGACAGAGAGCCAGACCUAGCCUCCUGGGCAAUGCAGCCUCUGUGAACCCCGCCAGCCUGACCAGCUCCCAGCCCUCAGCCCUGUUGCCAUGGCCACCACUAACAGCCGGGAUGGAGCGCGUGACUAGCCUUGGCCGGGGCUGAGCGUGCCGAGGCCCUCCAGCAGUGCCACUUCAGGUGGGGGCUCCUCCCUGCCUGCGGCUCAGCCCCAGCCCUGGGACCCAGCGUCCAGGGCAGGAGAGGGAGCAGGAUGGGGCCAAGGGUCAAGUGUGGCUUCCCGGGGGAGGCGGGGGGCUCCGAGCAGCCAGGAGAAGGGGAGGCCGACUUAGCCAAUCCAAAGAGCAAGAAGGGCCGACUCCUGAGGCUGGUCAGAGCCUUUCCCUGGAUCUGUCUCCCACUUCUGUCACCUUGGGUGACCUUGAGAGGCCGGGGCCUGCAGCAGAAGAGAUGCAUCGCAACCUCGGACACCAGCUUCCACCUGGUUUUCUUGAGAUGCUCAUGCGUGGAGCUGGGCUGCUAUCUGUGAGGAAGCCCGCACUCCCCUGUCGAGGCUCUUACAGAGAGAAACCAAGAGCCCAGGACCACCUGUCAGCCAUGCAGUAGGUGGACACUCCUCUAGGUGCGCCUUCUUGGAAGCCGAUCUCCUAGCUAGAUGACACGUCUCAGCUGGUGUCUCACAAAAUAAAGGUGGACACAAUUCCUUUAUUUUAUUUUGAUGUGGAGCUAAGGAUCCAGCCCAGGGCCUCACACGUGCUAGGCGAGCGCUCACCACUGAGUCACAGCCCAGCCCCAAACCGCCAUCUUUGAAGAAGAAAGCGGGCCUCGCCACACACCCCGUCUGCUGACAGCUUGUCGUAGACUUGAGCCUCCAGAGCUGUGAGCAGUGAAUUGCUGAUAUUUACUACCCAGCAGAAGGGGUUCUGUAGCAGCACCGUGGACUGGAACAGCGCCAUGGAUAAAGCAGGCCACCGCUGUGACUCCAUCUCUGUGAAGUGUCACAGGACAGGCAGAUCCACAGAGGAGGGGUUGGGAGAGCGGUGGCCUUCCCAAGGGUCCAGCAAAACCCGUGGGCUGGUGAGAGCCACUCUCUUGACCCCCGAGGGGUUUCCACGGUGGACGCACGAGCUCAGCUGGUUGUGUUGUGUGCGGAGGUUCCACGUCCUCCCUGGUGCAGGCGAAGCCUCAUUCAAAAGCUAGAAAAAUAAGGCCGGAGAGCCCGGAUGCAGGAGCCAGGCUGCUCUAGGGUGCCCAGGCUGUGGGAGAAAAGGAGUGGCUCCUGAGACCCAAGGAGGGUGGCGGAGGGAGACGGCGGGCGCCCACCAGGCCUCCGUUGCCACUGAUAACCGUCCUGGGGGCCGCAGGUGCGCAGAUGUCCGCGAGGGCUGGAGGCAGGACCAGGACUGCUGCGCUUGCUCAGCGGGCGUCCUUUCCAGGCCGUUCAGCCAGGCGUGGGGCUGGAGGCUGGGCCCUGUGUCAAUGUGCAGGACACACGUCCAGGCAGCCGUCUUAACCCUGGGCCCUCCACAUCCCCAAGGCCUGGCACCCAGCACUGCCCUCUGGGGGGCCAGCCUGGCACGGCUGGGAGGUUCCCAGCAUGAGUGCGAGGUGGCGGAUGCAGGCCGCUGCCUCAACCCUAAAAGGGGGGAUGUGAGGGGUUCACAGCCCCCAGAUCCUCAGGGGACCUCAGCCUAGGUCCCCAGGGUCUCCAGCUCCAUCACUCCUCUGUGGGCCCUUCCCUUCUUGCCUCUUCUCAAGCAAUAAAGGGAGAAAUGUGCCCAGAG